ACCCAAACCCCAGGUCUGCUGACUCUAGUCCAGUGCUCGUGAUGGCUGGUGGGCCCUGAACUAGGGGUCUGGAGGCCCUGGGUUUGAAUGUCGCCAG
rnacentral:pre_miRNA from 12 species